CCUACGGGAGGCAGCAGUAGGGAAUAUUGGACAAUGGGCGCAAGCCUGAUCCAGCCAUGCCGCGUGAGUGAAGAAGGCCCUCGGGUUGUAAAGCUCUUUUGUCCGGAAAGAAAAGCAAUCGGUUAAUACCCGGUUGUUCUGACGGUACCGGAAGAAUAAGCACCGGCUAACUUCGUGCCAGCAGCCGCGGUAAUACGAAGGGUGCAAGCGUUACUCGGAAUUACUGGGCGUAAAGCGUGCGUAGGUGGUUCGUUAAGUCUGAUGUGAAAGCCCUGGGCUCAACCUGGGAAUGGCAUUGGAUACUGGCGGGCUAGAGUGCGGUAGAGGGUAGUGGAAUUCCCGGUGUAGCAGUGAAAUGCGUAGAGAUCGGGAGGAACAUCUGUGGCGAAGGCGACUGCCUGGACCAGCACUGACACUGAGGCACGAAAGCGUGGGGAGCAAACAGGAUUAGAUACCCUGGUAGUCCACGCCCUAAACGAUGCGAACUGGAUGGAGGGUUCAACUUGGAACUCAGUAUCGAAGCUAACGCGUUAAGUUCGCCGCCUGGGGAGUACGGUCGCAAGACUGAAACUCAAAGGAAUUGACGG
rnacentral:rRNA from 1 species